rnacentral:tRNA from 1 species
ACCUAGCUGGCUCUGUCCGAAGAUCAUGAGACUCUUGAUCUCAUGGUUGUAGGUUCGAGCCCCACAUUGGGUA